rnacentral:lncRNA from 1 species
AUGGAUCUGCGUUAUUCCUCUAAAUUGAAGCUAGUUCCCCUUCAGUCCCAGAGUAAGUCAGAGAUCCCCAGGACCCAGACUCUCGGAAAGCUCCACCCAGCCCCAGGAGACGAUGAACAAAGAAAGAGAGACCCCAGAAGCAAGAGAAAGAGAUGGACAGAGAGAGAUGGGCGUUGUCCUCCCCAGCUGGGAACAAUGAAGGGAGCCAAGAGAGAGGCCUCUCCAGACCUGCCUUCCUUCCAGCCAGAUGUCCUGCCCUCUUCUCCGAGAAACCUUCCUCCGCAGGGGCAGCCGCAGGGCCCAGGAUGCCCCCGCUUUCCUGUUGGUGCUCAUCUCAUUUCUAUAAAAAGCACUGUUACCCCAUCCAGGGCUUCUGGUCUGCUCCCCCUCCCGCAAGGUCUAGAUGGCUUUCAAAGGGCUAGGAAAGGAGCUGGGUCCUAGAAUCCCCAGCCCACUGGGCAUGGACUCCCUAACAAAGGCUGGGUUGGGGUUCUCACUGGGG